rnacentral:rRNA from 1 species
UACAGAGGUCCCGAGCGUUGUUCGGAUUCAUUGGGCGUAAAGGGUGCGUAGGCGGCGGGGCAAGGCUGAUGUGAAAUCCUAGGGCUCAACCCUAGAACUGCAUUGGAUACUGCCUUGCUAGAGUACUGGAGAGGGAACUGGAAUUUACGGUGUAGCAGUGAAAUGCGUAGAUAUCGUGAGGAACACCAGAGGCGAAGGCGGCUACCUGGACAAUUGCUGACGCUCAGGCACGAAAGCGUGGGGAGCAAAAGGG